rnacentral:rRNA from 1 species
GACGGAAGGUGCAAGCGUUGCUCGGAAUCACUGGGCGUAAAGGGUGCGUAGGCGGCUUGGUGGGUCUGGUGUGAAAGCCCCGGGCUCAGCCCGGGAAGGGCACUAGAAACUGCCAAGCUGGAGUGCCGGAGGGGAGAGUGGAAUUCCUGGUGUAGCGGUGAAAUGCGUAGAUAUCAGGAGGAAUACCGGUGGCGAAAGCGACUCUCUGGACGGCAACUGACGCUGAGGCACGAAAGCGUGGGGAGCAAACAGGAUUAGAUACCCUGGUAGUCCACGCCGUAAACGAUGGGCACUAGGUGUCGGGGGUAUCCACUCCCUCGGUGCCGCCGCUAACGCAUUAAGUGUCCCGCCUGGGAAGUACGGUCGCAAGAUUAAA